UACGUAGGGGACUAGCGUUGUCCGGAUUUAUUGGGCGUAAAGAGCUCGUAGGCGGCUCGUCGCGUCAACGGUGAAAACCCGCGGCUUAACUGCGGGCUUGCGGUUGAUACGGGCAGACUAGAGUGCGGUAGGGGAGACUGGAAUUCCUGGUGUAGCGGUGAAAUGCGCAGAUAUCAGGAGGAACACCGGUGUCGAAGGCGGGUCUCUGGGCAACAACUGACGCUGAGGAGCGAAAGCGUGGGGAGCGAACAGG
rnacentral:rRNA from 1 species